ensembl:misc_RNA 7SK 7SK RNA
GAAUGUGAGGGCAAUCUGGGUGUGACAUCUGCCACCCACUUGAUGGCCAGAAUUGUUUGUCCCUCACUGCUCCAGGGGCAUUCAAAACUUAGGGUUAGGUGGCCCUUCUAGUGAGGAGGACUACUGGUCCUUGGUCAAGGGUACAGUACAAGGAGAGGCAGCUCUCGUGCUUGAACCCUGAAACAAGUUCUCAAGAAAGGGAAGGUGGGCCGCACACUGAAUAAAGUUGCUUGCUGUCAGGCCUGACCAUUU